rnacentral:tRNA from 1 species
GCAGGCAUAGCUCAGCUGGUAGAGCGUUUGGCUUCCAACCAAAAGGUCGCGAGUUCGAGGCUCGCUGUCUGCU